CUAUAAACCAUAACAACAACCAUAAACCAUGUAAAACCCCAAGCUAUCUACAUUAAAUCCUAAACCAAACACCAAAGAUAAAUAGAAACCUUAUAACCAUAUAAAAAGCUAAACUUGGCUCCCCUACACAUUUCCCUGCCUUGGUCCAGCCCGGAACCUUCUUAAGGCAGUCGUUUCAGCCCCGGCCUCUUUUAGGGGACGGACCUGGACACAAGGACAAGGGCCCAACCACUCUACUAUAAAGUGCUGCAGUGCCACUGGAUCUAAAACCAGGAAAAGGAAAUGCAUUCAAUAAACAUUUAUACAAAUAACUGUGUGCAAUUAUUUCUUAAAUGUGCAAAUAUGCAUCCAUAAAGUGCUGUAUGCUAUCUAAAGUGCUAAAUAAAGUGCUUAAAUACAAA